UCGGGAAUUUUGGGCAAUGGGCGAAAGCCUGACCCAGCAACGCCGCGUGAGGGAUGAAGUAUUUCGGUAUGUAAACCUCGAAAGAAUGGGAAGAAUAAAUGACGGUACCAUUUAUAAGCUCCGGCUAACUACGUGCCAGCAGCCGCGGUAAUACGUAGGGAGCAAGCGUUGUUCGGAUUUACUGGGCGUAAAGGGCGCGUAGGCGGCGCGGUAAGUCACUUGUGAAAUCUCUGAGCUUAACUCAGAACGGCCAAGUGAUACUGCUGUGCUAGAGUGCGGAAGAGGCAACCGGAAUUCUUGGUGUAGCGGUGAAAUGCGUAGAUAUCAAGAGGAACACCUGAGCCGAAGGCGGGUUGCUGGGCCGACACUGACGCUGAUGCGCGAAAGCCAGGGGAGCAAACG
rnacentral:rRNA from 1 species